rnacentral:rRNA from 1 species
UUGUCCGGAAUUACUGGGCGUAAAGGGUGCGUAGGCGGUCUAUUAAGUUGGAUGUGAAAUCCCCGGGCUUAACUUGGGGUCUGCAUCCAAUACUGGGAGACUAGAGUGCAGGAGAGGGAAGCGGAAUUCCUAGUGUAGCGGUGAAAUGCGUAGAUAUUAGGAGGAACACCAGUGGCGAAGGCGGCUUUCUGGACUGUAACUGACGCUGAGGCACGAAAGCGUGGGGAGCAAACAGGAUUAGAUACCCUGGUAGUCCACGCUGUAAACGAUGAAUACUAGGUGUAGGGGGUAUCAACUCCCCCUGUGCCGGAGCAAACGCAAUAAGUAUUCCGCCUGGGGAGUACGGCCGCAAGGUUGAAACUCCGAGGAAUUGACGGGGG